rnacentral:rRNA from 1 species
UGGUGACUAUAGCAAGGAGGUCACACCUGUUCCCAUGCCGAACACAGAAGUUAAGCUCCUUAGCGUCGAUGGUAGUCGAACCGAACCCGUCAUUCU